rnacentral:tRNA from 1 species
GGGCCGUGGCUCAGUGGCAGAGCAGUUGCUUGGCAUGCAGAAGGUCCCAGGUCCAAUCUCCAGCAUGUCCA